UUGCCUGUGUCAAGAGGUCUUUGGGCUU
rnacentral:piRNA from 1 species